GUGUCACAGAGCCACACUAAAUCCUAUCAUAAUACCAACAUUCCUAAGUUCAUUUGAAGUUUUUUCCCUCAGUAAAAUGAACCCUUGGUUUAUGGUUACUCAAUGAAUCAUAAUUUACAUUUAUAGGACAUAUAUGCUUGAAAGAAGAUCUUUUAAAAAGAUGUUUUUUCAAUAACAGCAAGAUCAUGUUAGUCAUAUUGGUUUUGAGGCAUCCCCAUAUGUGAAUUCAAGUAGGCUAUAUCGCAACUUUUUGGGCUAGAUUUGGGUCGCAAUAUAGGGUUAAAAAUUUUCAUGGGAAUAAAGAUUGGAAACAAAUCUUUUAAAAAUCACUACAGCAGGGUCAACAUGACUCGGGUGAGCAAUGCAACCCAUGAGCCUCUUGAUGGUAUUUGAGGCCACAAAAUCAAGACAAAGGUCAAAUCAAUAAUGAUAUUAGAAAUAUUGUUCAAUGUCUUUAGACCCCUUUGUUUGACAACAAAUGAUGAGUUGUAAUUAAUUUCGAAAUAUGUUAUAUAUUUUCUUCUUCUUCAAAAUAGGUGUUGUACUUCAGGAAAAGGGGAAGCGUAUUUGUUGGAAGAUGGAUAAAGAAAAAUUGGAGCAUGCACUAGACUUCUUUAAAUCCUGCUUUUUUAUCAGGUAACAUCAUUGAGUACAAAAGAAAUGUACCUUCACAGCAGACAACUUAUAACCUUUCGACACAAAAAUUGGGACUGCCUGCCAUUCAACCAUUGUACAUAUAUGAAUUUACCAGUCCUGUUGUGAAGAAACUUAUUUCAUCAUCUUUCAAGGGCCAUGUUAUUUAGGAUUUUAACUACUUGUCCUGCAUCACAAGCUUAAAAAGACUUCACAAUCUGGCUGCAGAUGGAACUGCAUGGUUUGAAAUCCUCAUAGGAAUUCUGAGAAGCAUGGAGGCCUAUUAACCAGAUAAUGAGAUUGUUAUGAGAUUGAUCACUGUUCGUUAUCUUCACCUUGGAUAAUGACAAGAUUUCAUAGCUUGAGGAGUACCAGGAAAAUUUACUUGCAGCAAAAUUGUACAUAAAUAGAGACUCACUCAAGCAUGAAUGUAGAAUAAUUAUAAAGAUACAGUAGAGAGAGAGAAAGAGAGAGAGAGAGAGAGAGAGAAUUAUAUGGUGAUAUAAUUAAACUCAUUGUCUUCAAUGGGUAUGUCAUGUCAGUAGAGAAUCAUGAUUCAUAUGGUGAUAUUUUUCAAUUAUAUACUCGUUUCAGUGCAAUGGCAUUGUACAAAUAAAUAUUUUAAGUGUUGUUAGGGAAAGUGGUUGCUAUGGUGAUAUGUGUAAACAUAUUGUCUUCCAUGGGUCCGACAUGUCAGUAAAUAAUUACAUGUUGAUAUAUUUGUAUUAUAUUCUCAUUUGAAGGCAAUUGGAAUUGUACAGUUUGAAAUGUUUGCUUGUUGCUAGGGAAAAUUGGUUGCUAUGGUGAUAUAGUUAAACCUGAUGUCUUAAUUGGAUUCAACAUAUCAGUAGAAAAUCAUAUAUUGGUAUAUUUGCAUUAGGUUCUCAUUCCAGUGCAAUUUAAUCAUACAACUUUAAAUUUUAUGUGCGUUGCUAAGGAAAAUCAGUUGCUACGGUGAUAUGGUUGAAGUCUGAUUUCUCUAAUUGGUCUGAAAUGUCAAUAAAUUAAAGUGAACCCAGAU